AACGAACGCUGGCGGCGUGCCUAACACAUGCAAGUCGAACGAGAAAGGGGCUCCGGCUCCGAGUAAAGUGGCGCACGGGUGAGUAACACGUGGGUAACCUGCCUCUAAGAUUGGGAUAACUCGUCGAAAGAUGAGCUAAUACCGAAUAAGACCACAGUUUCUGCGGGAUAGAGGUCAAAGGUAGCCUCUGCUUGCAAGCUAUCACUUAGAGAUGGGACUGGCCACCAUUAGCUAGUUGGUAGGGUAACGGCCUACUAAGGCAAAGAUGGUUAGCUGGUCUGAGAGGAUGAACAGCCACACUUGAACUGAGACCCGGUCCAGACUCCGACGGGAGGCAGCAGUGGGGAAGAUUGCGCAACGGUCGAGAGCCUGACGCAGCAACGCCGCGUGAGUGAUGAAGGCCUUCGGGUCGUAAAGCUCUGUCGGAAGGAACGAAUGCUCCUGAGGUUAACAGCCUCGGGAGGUGACGGUACCUUCAAAGGAAGCACCGGCUAACUCUGUGCCAGCCGCCGCCGUAAGAC
rnacentral:rRNA from 1 species